UUCCGUUAAUUCCAUUCUGUCAAACUCGAUCGGCCUGCAUAAUUACCUCAACUCACUGACUACUUUCACAGGGAAAAGGAAGGGUGCCGCUAAACGGCACGAGUGAGCAAACUAAGGGGUACAUUAAAAUUGGAGGCACACGAGUCAUGGUCUCCCCAAGUGAAGUCUACCAAGUGGUAAGGGUGCAGUCCGCCGCAUACUGCAUGAUAACAUGCAGCUGGGUUCUACAGCAUUGUGAGAGGGUGACGCCAACUCGAUGUCACCGCUCAUACUAUAAUCCAUUCUCCUUUUGAACACCAUGGUUCAGCAUUCAUUAUUAUACCAUGUACUAGCACCAGCCUGCAUAGCAGAAGAAGAAAACCAAACAAGUGAACCCAAAAGAGAGGGUACAACUGACUAGUUUCAUCGGAGGAACCAGAUAAGACUCCAUGUUCAAAAGAACAUCAUCUACGUAGAACAAUUUUUGUGCCUUGGGGGAGUCCAUUGUGCCAUUUAAGUAACCAGCAAGUCCUAUAAACCGUCAUCAUCAGAUACUGUCGAGUCACGACGUAUUGGCUCACCCAGGCUUUUCUACAUCCAAAAUUUCUCUCUCUACUUAAAGACAGUGCACUCUCGGUCACAAAAUCAUGCAUCAAGGUUAGAGUUUUUCUAAAUUCUAAACUUCUAGCGAAACUAAUAGUGCAUUGCAAAAAUGAUUUUCGGGAUAUUGUUUCCACAGAAAUGCUAUGAGUACGUCAAACAAGAACGGAUUCUACACGUAUGCCUACUUGGAGAUCUUCUCCAAGAACAGAUUCUGUUCCAACGACUCUUUUCCGGCUACUAUCCGACCUCUGGAGAUCUUCUCCAAUAAUGUCUCUGGCCUCUUCUCUACUGUCGUUCCCAGCGUCCUCUCCGGCAAGUGGAGAAACUUCACGCUGUCGUCAAUUGCGUUUCUUAUUUCCAGAAUCCCACCCCGCAAAUGCAAUCUUUCAAUCUCCUAAUUUCUCGCUGGACAUGGUGUUUGCAAAAAUCUCUAACCAUUUCUUUGUGGAGGGAAACUAUUACUCUCUUCUCCGGCGACUCUUCGGAACGCCCAACUAACCCCCUCUUCUCUGACUAAACGUCGUUGGAGAGGGAGGCCACCGGUAAAUAGGAAACAACCAACAAUUGAGAAAAUUACUCGGAAGAUCAAGAAAUCAACAAAAAAAAAUUUGCAAAGUUACUCAAGGCAAUGCGAAGAGCAUACAGGUAUAUCUUUCAACUUGAAUUUUUUUUUUAAUUGAAAUCAUGCAUGAGUACAAACUAUUCAAAAAAUGUAUUGGUGAGUUUUCUAAUUACACUAAUGUUUUCUUUUAUUUAAUUACACUAGCCUUCUCUUUUUCAUUUUCCUCUUCUUGGCUUGUAAGCUUGGAUUCGCCGAUGCGUGAUUCUGCUCCAAGGAAUAGUCGAAGAUUGUAAUGCUGCAUAGUCCUUUUUUCUUGGGAAUUUUUGUUUGUGUUGUCGUGACAACGUUUAACUAUUAAGUAAAGAAUCAAAUUCACUGCAAAAAAAGACCUUCAUCUUUUUAUUGCAUCUCGUGGUUUUUUAAUCAAAUUCACUGCAAGUCCUAGUUUGAAAUGAAUUUUUCCACCCUUUAAAAACCGGCUGUCCUUUAUAUGCGCCUUAUUCGGACGUACCCGACAUAAUUUAGAAUGAGCUAAAUCGUAGUCAUGACAAGCUUGACAUUUCAAAUGAGCUGAACUAGGUCGGCUUUGAAUAACCAAGAGCAGAGAAGGUGGGGCAAAACGAGUUUUACCCAAAUGAGUAGAAAACCAUUCACUACCGUUGUCAUCAUUCACCAAACAUACUUGAUACAAACCCAUCACUUCUACCACUGAACUGAAACGUUACAGGGUAGCAAAAUUCUAAAGGUGUAUAACUGUAUAUACGAGCUGAUUGAAUGAACCCAAAACAAAGAAUAAAAACA